UACGUAGGGUGCGAGCGUUAAUCGGAAUUACUGGGCGUAAAGCGUGCGCAGGCGGUGAUGUAAGACAGAUGUGAAAUCCCCGGGCUCAACCUGGGAAUGGCAUUGGUGACUGUACGGCUAGAGUGUGUCAGAGGGGGGUAGAAUUCCACGUGUAGCAGUGAAAUGCGUAGAGAUGUGGAGGAAUACCGAUGGCGAAGGCAGCCCCCUGGGAUAACACUGACGCUCAUGCACGAAAGCGUGGGGAGCAAACAGG
rnacentral:rRNA from 1 species